rnacentral:rRNA from 1 species
UGAUGCCCAGCUUGCUGGGCGGAUUAGUGGCGAACGGGUGAGUAAUACGUGAGUAACCUGCCCUUGACUCUGGGAUAAGCCUGGGAAACUGGGUCUAAUACUGGAUACUACCUCUUGCCGCAUGGUGGGUGGUGGAAAGGGUUUUACUGGUUUUGGAUGGGCUCACGGCCUAUCAGCUUGUUGGUGGGGUAAUGGCUCACCAAGGCGACGACGGGUAGCCGGCCUGAGAGGGUGACCGGCCACACUGGGACUGAGACACGGCCCAGACUCCUACGGGAGGCAGCAGUGGGGAAUAUUGCACAAUGGGCGGAAGCCUGAUGCAGCGACGCCGCGUGAGGGAUGACGGCCUUCGGGUUGUAAACCUCUUUCAGUAGGGAAGAAGCGAGAGUGACGGUACCUGCAGAAGAAGCGCCGGCUAACUACGUGCCAGCAGCCGCGGUAAUACGUAGGGCGCAAGCGUUGUCCGGAAUUAUUGGGCGUAAAGAGCUCGUAGGCGGUUUGUCGCGUCUGCUGUGAAAGCCCGGGGCUCAACCCCGGGUCUGCAGUGGGUACGGGCAGACUAGAGUGCAGUAGGGGAGACUGGAAUUCCUGGUGUAGCGGUGAAAUGCGCAGAUAUCAGGAGGAACACCGAUGGCGAAGGCAGGUCUCUGGGCUGUUACUGACGCUGAGGAGCGAAAGCAUGGGGAGCGAACAGGAUUAGAUACCCUGGUAGUCCAUGCCGUAAACGUUGGGCACUAGGUGUGGGGGACAUUCCACGUUUUCCGCGCCGUAGCUAACGCAUUAAGUGCCCCGCCUGGGGAGUACGGCCGCAAGGCUAAAACUCAAAGGAAUUGACGGGGGCCCGCACAAGCGGCGGAGCAUGCGGAUUAAUUCGAUGCAACGCGAAGAACCUUACCAAGGCUUGACAUUCACCGGACCGCCCCAGAGAUGGGGUUUCCCUUCGGGGCUGGUGGACAGGUGGUGCAUGGUUGUCGUCAGCUCGUGUCGUGAGAUGUUGGGUUAAGUCCCGCAACGAGCGCAACCCUCGUUCUAUGUUGCCAGCACGUGAUGGUGGGGACUCAUAGGAGACUGCCGGGGUCAACUCGGAGGAAGGUGGGGAUGACGUCAAAUCAUCAUGCCCCUUAUGUCUUGGGCUUCACGCAUGCUACAAUGGCCGGUACAAAGGGUUGCGAUACUGUGAGGUGGAGCUAAUCCCAAAAAGCCGGUCUCAGUUCGGAUUGAGGUCUGCAACUCGACCUCAUGAAGUCGGAGUCGCUAGUAAUCGCAGAUCAGCAACGCUGCGGUGAAUACGUUCCCGGGCCUUGUACACACCGCCCGUCAAGUCACGAAAGUUGGUAACACCCGAAGCCGGUGGCCUAACCCCUUGUGGGAGGGAGCCGUCGAA